rnacentral:rRNA from 1 species
GAUUAACGCUGGCGGCGUGCAUAACACAUUCAAGUCGAACGGUGAAGGGACUUCGGUCCCGGAUCAGUGGCGGACGGGUGAGUAACGCGUGAGCAACCUGCCCUUGUGUGGGGGAUAACGUUUGGAAACGGACGCUAAUACCGCAUAACCCAAUAGUACGGCAUCGUACAGUUGGCAAAGAUUUAUUGCACAAGGAUGGGCUCGCGUCUGAUUAGGUAGUUGGUGGGGUAACGGCCUACCAAGCCGACGAUCAGUAGCCGGACUGAGAGGUUGAACGGCCACAUAGGAACUGAGAUACGGUCCAGACUCCUACGGGAGGCAGCAGUGGGGAAUAUUGGGCAAUGGGGGAAACCCUGACCCAGCGACGCCGCGUGAGGGAAGAAGGUCUUCGGAUUGUAAACCUUAAACAACAGGGACGAAGAAAGUGACGGUACCUGUUAGGAAGCCACGGCUAACUACGUGCCAGCAGCCGCCGUAAAAC